rnacentral:rRNA from 1 species
GUGGGGAAUCUUGCGCAAUGGGCGAAAGCCUGACGCAGCCAUGCCGCGUGAAUGAUGAAGGUCUUAGGAUUGUAAAAUUCUUUCACCGGGGACGAUAAUGACGGUACCCGGAGAAGAAGCUCCGGCUAACUUCGUGCCAGCAGCCGCGGUAAUACGAAGGGGGCUAGCGUUGCUCGGACUUACUGGGCGUAAAGGGCGCGUAGGCGGACAGCUUAGUCAGAGGUGAAAGCCCAGGGCUCAACCUUGGAAUUGCCUUUGAUACUGGCGGUCUUGAGUUUGGGAGCGGUGAGUGGAACUCCGAGUGUAGAGGUGAAAUUCGUAGAUAUUCGGAAGAACACCAGUGGCGAAGGCGACAUACUGGCUCAUUACUGACGCUGAGGCGCGAAAGCGUGGGGCGCAAACAGGAUUAGAAACCCUUGUAGUCC